UUCCUUUUGCAGUUAAAACACCGGGCAGCAGCUUUGGGAAGCCGUGGUGGUGAGUCCAGGUCCUCAGGUCUCUGAAGGAAGCACCCAUGAACCAGUCCCUGGGAUUAAGGAGGAAGCAGAGGUUUUAAUGAAGCAGACUCCAUUCUUUGGAGGGGUGACGGGAGCUUUUCUGUGAGAUCAAGCACUAGAGAAGACACAAAAAGCACAGGGGAUGCUACUUCAUAGUGCCUGAGGCUACAAAGGUGCAUAUCCCUGCACUAUGAACAACAGAUCAUCGCAAGGUCAAAGGAGGAAGGAAGCACAUUUCCCACAAAAUGCUCUCAUGGCCUUGAAGCUGAGCACAGAAUGCAUCAGGAAAUGCUGACAUAUUUGGAAACUAAAAUGGAUUAGUAAACCUUGACAUAUUAGAAAGGCAAACCUUUGGGCUCAGGAUAUUGUGCUUGUGGGGAAAGUCUAUGAGUGAAGUGUCUGUCCCUCCUGUUCGAGGAAGCCAGGUGCUUUGGAUUUGAUCACCACCUUACUGUGAAAGACUGCAAACUGUAGGUUUCUCUUUAAAAGUGACUAUGAGGUGUUUGGUCUUGAAAUAUCUCUUGCCAGGUGACAGCAGAUUUUCCUUUCAAAAUGCCUCAACCUAAAUCCAUCAAGGAGCAAGGAUUGGCAAUACUGUGGGUCCUCAAGAGUCAGUGGGAUAGGGUUGAUGCUGAGUGUUUGGGGCAAGAACAUCCUCUCUGAGAGAUGAGCAUGCCAUGGGUGCACAAUUAUUUAUGAGUAGUUUCCCUUACUGCUGAGCAGGAUAUAUUUAAUCUCACCAUGCAGCCCCUGCAUUCCCUUUUUCACAGGAUCCUGAGUUGCUCCAGGCUGUUCCUGUCUGAUCCCAUUCAAUGCUGGUAUGGGGGUUUCAGGAGUAUAGACACGGAGGAAAUUGCUGUCUGUAUUUUAUUAAAGUAUGUGUCCUUUAAGACCUCCUGCUCCUUCCAGGUUCCUAAACAGCAGCAGUCACUGUGAAAUCUGCUGUGUCCCUUUGACCAAAAAUUGUUUGUUUGUUUACAGUAUAACCUUCAGACUAGAUGAACACAGGGUCCUUGAUCCAUACUUAGUCUGAGAAUGAGUGGAGGCUGUGGCACCCUGUGGAGAUAUUACACUCACAGACUGUGCACCUUCAAGGUCCACCAACAUGGUGGGGCAAUGGAUGCAACUCUGCUUGGCUGUCUCAGUGAGUGGUGUGACACCUUUUCUCCUCCUGAUGGCACAACAGAUGUGAUUUUUCUGAGUCACCUGGACUAGUAGGAACCUGGGGAGCAAGAUUUUCUCAAUGAAGGGUUUUGUUUUGCUCUGAUUUUCCUCUGCUGCUCUUACAUACCGUGGACUUUGUGAACUAGUCGCAACAGCCCCUCCUCCAUCCCGUCUUUCAUGUUCAGUUUUUAGAGUUUGGAAGGCUUUUAAUGUGUUGAUUUUGUGUCCAAAUCAGAUACAUUGUAAAAGUUUUUUUAAAUAUCUCUGCUUCUCAUAGAAAACUUUUGAAAUAAAUGGAAAUAAAUGUAAACAAAUUCUGAACAACAUGCUGGAUCUGCAGGCAUAAAUCCCCGCCACAGACCUGCAAAUCGAAGACUCAAAGCUCCUGUUAUGUCGAAAAGAGGAACACUUGGGCUCAACAAGGGGUACGAUGUUAAUAAAAUCUUUGUUCACUGUUACAAUAGGGAAUAGCUAAAGUGGUUUGGGGUUUCUGCCAAGUUAACACUGGCUUAUGCCCAUUCUCACAAGUACUGCUAAGAAAACCCUUAACCCUUAUUCAAGAAUGCAAAACAAUUAAUACUUUUAAUUUUGAAUGCUGUAUUUAAAGCAGAAGUUUUUAUUUUAAAAACAUUCCUUAUUCCCUUUGCCUGUUGCUAGACCAGGAGCUUUAAAGAAAAUUCACAUUUUAUGUGGCAUUAACUUUGUGAGUAAAACCCAGUUAUCUUAGGUGGUUUGAAACUAGCCCUGCUCUUAAUAUUAUUGGAGUCCUAUUUUUGUUAAGAUGAAAGUGCAGAUGUUCUGAGUCCCCCUAAACAAUGCUUAACCCAGAUUAUGUGACUGUUUCCUUCCCUGCGGUCUGUUGGACUCUGCCCAUCUAUGGUCUCUUCCCUGUUGUUGGUAGCUCCUUGGGGCAGUAACAAUGUGCAUGGAAGAUUUAGAUCCAUGACUGAGCAGAAUUGUUGUGGUAAUUGGAAUAAUAACAACAAAAAUAAUAAUAACAUGGAAAAGUAAGACAACAUUCAGUCAACAUUUCAACUUUUUAUUUCUUCAAUGAAUAAAGGCAAAAGAGAGACAGCUUCUGUCUUGCCUUUCAUUUGCAACUGUGCUGUUAGGGACACAAAAGCUACUCAAUAAAUGGUCUUGGAAACCCUUUUGAUGAGUAGGAGGUUGUAGGAGAUGUUGUUUUAGGUGCAUCUCCACAAGAAGCUGGUAGUGGUACAAUGAUAAGUAGUAUUACCUUGACAACUAGAGAAGAAAUGAAGGAGAGAGGUAGCAGGUGUACUUGGGUGCUCUCUGGUCAGAUCAGGAUGUCUUGAGCAUUGGGGCCAUAGAGCUCCAGCAGGCUGGCAGAAUAUGCUGGGGUGAUAGUCACAUUUUUUUUCCAGCCUUCAUACCCUCCUCUGCUCUCCUUUGUGCCACCCACUCAUCUAAGGAAAGGUGAUUUCUUUAUUCUGGUAGAAUUAACUAAUCAAAAUACACUAUGGUGUUUCAAUUAUAAGUGUUUCCUCCCAUUCUUAAAAUGUUUCCACUUGUUUUCUUGGCAGGACCUUGAGGAUCUCUCCUGAGAGUUCCUUUUACAUAGAUAUGCGCAAAAUGAAUAGUUUAUCUCCACCUCCUGCUGACUUUAUAAAUAAUUUGAUGUAAAAAGCUAAAUUGGACUUCUGCUGUGUCGAAUAACUAGGAAGUAUCAGCUUCUAAUAUUCCAGCCACAGACCAGAACAGACUUUCCAGUUUUAGAGGCCAAAGUGGCCUCUCUGGCUUCCACUCACCUGCAACCUUUCUUGGAAAUUUCUGAUACCUUUCCCUCCUGGCUGCUUUGGGCUCCCCAAAAAUAAGAGGCUUUAGGACUUCCAGCUGGCAGAACUUCUCUUGUGAAUGAAAGCUAUUUACUUAAACAAAGAAGAUAUGGUGGAACACAGGACUGUGAUUUUUACUGUUUCUUGUUCACCUUCCCAUGUACAUGCCAGAAAAUCCUGUGCUCACUUCUGAAGGUGAGCAGCUUGUUUUUUUGGGGUGUAUUCAUCUGUGCAGUCUCAUUGAAGGCAAACAGAAUUGCUUCUCUGAGUCAUGUCACACAUGUGCCUAAAUGAUUGCAAAAGACUGAAAGGAGUUGGGAGUAGAAAUAAUAGCACUACUUCAUCUCUCACAGGGCAGCGCCAACAAAAUAAUGAAGCCAUGUGAAUAAAGAACCAACAUAAUAAUCAAGCUCUAACCAUUUUUGGAAAAUUAGCACUUCUUCCAUAACAGUAACGGCUGCUGGGAAAAUGGUACAAAAUAUUAACUGUCAGGUUAAGCACACCUUAAUCAACAUAUGCUGAGUCCCAGUGAUGUGUCCUCAAACCUGUUACUUAAGUACUUGUUAAGGCCAAUUAAAUAAAAUUUUAAAGCCUAAUAGCACAAACCACAUAAAAGCAUAAAAAGAGCCAUAAUGGUUGAAUGGGUGGAUGUUUAGCCCUUCUUGAUUUAAAACAGUGAAGUGAAAAAUGUUGGAGCCCUUGAAGAUGAUUUUGAAGACGGGGAAGUGACUGUGCUACACAAACAGCAAUCAGAGACAAUUAAGAGAACUGGGACAAGUGCCUCAUUCUCUCUGCAGACUGCAUGGGAAACUGCGCUUUACGUUUCAGUCUCGUUGCAUUUCAAAUAAGGCCCCCAGCUAUGUCAUUUUUCAAGUCCAACUCAAAUCAAAAGAUACUGCUUAAAAUCUUCCUAUUACUCCAGAAGUGAAAGAAAUGAUUGCCUAUGCUGAUGAGCCUGGAAGAUUGUCUUGGAAAGAAUUUGACAGUUUUGUCUCCAAGUCCCAUUACAACAUUAUUAGUGCCCCUGAAGAAGACUGACAGAGCCUGAAUACCAGUGUAAGUAUGAGGGUAGUUUAGGAUGACUCUGCCGCUGCAGAUUUCAUGUUGUUUCUCUGUACUGUAGAGAAAUGGUGUGCUAUGCUGUGCAUGUGUUUUCUUUUAAAGCUUAAUCUGAUGAAGAAUCUUAGUGAGACCCUAUAGUAACAAAAGAACAGAGAAUACAAGCAAGCUAAAAAAAUCCCAUAAAAUGGAAAGAAUGAAAAUAGGGAAAGGGGGAAAUAAUUAUCAAUUUCUAAUUAUAACCUUAUCCCUAUGCAGAAUGCAUAGCUCAUGAGUGAUACUUUUUCAAGAACUUUCUGUUAAGCAUGGAGAGAUUUCAGUACAUGGUUCAGAAGUCUCCUGAAGUACAGAAGUGGUCUCAGUUUUGUAGCCUUCUUCACAAAGACAGUAGUGCAAUGAGCUUUCAGAGCUCUUGCAGCUCUUUUGGUUUGUCAUAAUAUUCUAUGAUGCCUAAAAAUGAGCACCUUAGUUUUUAAGCAUGCUUCAAUACCAAUGUAAGUGACUACCUUUCCCCUGCUGCAAAUGUGCAUCUGCAAGUCAUUUGUGUAAAGCUUUUGCUGGUGUUUAAUCUCUUAGUUAUGAGUAAGAAGUAAAUGGGAAGUAAGAUGAACAUACGGAAUUAAGUUCCUUACUAGAACAUCAGUAAUUUUUUAUGUGAUGCAUAUACAAGACAGACUGUGUACUUAAA